AAGGCAGCGCUCUCAGGCACCUCCACCAUGGCCUGGGCUCUGCUCCUCCUCAGCCUCCUCUCUCAGGGCACAGGGUCCUGGGCCCAGGCGGCCCUCACUCAGCCUCCUUCAGUGUCCGGGAACCCGGGACAGUCAGUCACCAUCUCCUGUGUGGGAAGCAGCAAUGACAUCGGGCGUUAUAAUGAUGUCUCCUGGUACCAACAGCGCCCGGGCACGGCCCCUAAACAACUGAUUUAUGUUAUCAGCAAUCGGCCCUCGGGGAUCCCUGAGCGCUUCUCUGGCUCCAAGUCUGGCAACACGGCCACCCUGACCAUCUCUGGGCUGCAGGCUGAGGACGAGGCUGACUAUUACUGCUGCACAUAUACCAGCAGUGGCACUCUGCACAGUGGUGCAGGUUCAUGGGGAAAUGAGACCAAAACCCGCCCUGGGCUAUCAGACGCCCUCCUUUCUCUGAAGAUGCUCCCCUCCCUGGUGUGGGGGCUCAAACAGUGGGUGGCAGUAAAUGAGCCCGAGCGUCAGACACUGGAGAUUGGGACAAGAGACAGAAGCCUCUAG